rnacentral:rRNA from 2 species
CGGGACACGUGGUAUCCUGUCUGAAUAUGGGGGGACCAUCCUCCAAGGCUAAAUACUCCUGACUGACCGAUAGUGAACCAGUACCGUGAGGGAAAGGCGAAAAGAACCCCGGCGAGGGGAGUGAAAAAGAACCUGAAACCGUGUACGUACAAGCAGUGGGAGCACGCUUAGGCGUGUGACUGCGUACCUUUUGUAUAAUGGGUCAGCGACUUAUAUUCUGUAGCAAGGUUAACCGAAUAGGGGAGCCGAAGGGAAACCGAGUCUUAACUGGGCGUUAAGUUGCAGGGUAUAGACCCGAAACCCGGUGAUCUAGCCAUGGGCAGGUUGAAGGUUGGGUAACACUAACUGGAGGACCGAACCGACUAAUGUUGAAAAAUUAGCGGAUGACUUGUGGCUGGGGGUGAAAGGCCAAUCAAACCGGGAGAUAGCUGGUUCUCCCCGAAAGCUAUUUAGGUAGCGCCUCGUGAAUUCAUCUCCGGGGGUAGAGCACUGUUUCGGCAAGGGGGUCAUCCCGACUUACCAACCCGAUGCAAACUGCGAAUACCGGAGAAUGUUAUCACGGGAGACACACGGCGGGUGCUAACGUCCGUCGUGAAGAGGGAAACAACCCAGACCGCCAGCUAAGGUCCCAAAGUCAUGGUUAAGUGGGAAACGAUGUGGGAAGGCCCAGACAGCCAGGAUGUUGGCUUAGAAGCAGCCAUCAUUUAAAGAAAGCGUAAUAGCUCACUGGUCGAGUCGGCCUGCGCGGAAGAUGUAACGGGGCUAAACCAUGCACCGAAGCUGCGGCAGCGACGCUGAUGCGUUGUUGGGUAGGGGAGCGUUCUGUAAGCCUGUGA